CAAAACACCUUUUUCAAGGGUUAAAGCUUCAGAGGAAAAAAGCCAAUAAACCACACUCAAGAAAUGCCAAAAGGGGCGGAAAAAAGUCACAUGGACAUGACAUGUGCAUGAUCUUCAAUGUAAGGUGAAAGGGAGGAGUAACUGGCAUAAAUGUUAAAUGGGAUAAGUAGACAGAAUUAGAGUCUGAGAUUGCAGUAGGAUAGUGGCUUUUAGUGUACAUGAGCGGUCAGGGACUUGCAGCCCUGCAUGUCAGAGAGAAAUCUCUGUCAAAUCACUUGUGUAGCAAAAGAGUGAAAAACAAAGGUGGA